rnacentral:rRNA from 1 species
GUACCUUGUGUAUCAGGGUUUACUGAAUUUUAUUAUUUAUUUUUAUUUCCCGAUUCUAAAAGGAGCUAUUGGCUUAUUUUAGUUGUCGUUUUAUUAACAUUAAUAAUAGGUUAAUAGUAGUGAAAUGUUAUUCGUCUUUAGGGGUUUCUGGUUUUUCAAGAAAUGAAUUUAAUUCAUGCGUCUUAUUUAGAGUUUUAUUAUUUGUUUAUUUAUUUUUAUUUGGCGUUAAGAUUGGGAGGGAUUAGCUUCUUAUUUUAUUUUUAUAAUUUUUUAUUUAUUUAGUCUUGUGGGUUUUAUAGUGAUUUUCAAUUUGAUUAUGUUAAAAUUUUAUUUGUUUUGUUCUUUAUUUUUGUUUAUUUAAUUAUUUAUUGAAAUGUAUUCUUUAUCUUUGGUUUUGGUUAGUAAUUAUUGUAGAAUUAGUAAAUUUGUUGUUAGGUUGUUUUAUUUGUGUUAAUUUUCUUUGAGGAACUAGGCAAAUUUCAUGUCCGCCUGUUUAACAAAAACAUCUUUUCUCGUUAGUUUUUGAAGUAUGGCCUGCCCACUGACUUUGGUGUUGAAGGGCCGCGGUAUUUUGACCGUGCAAAGGUAGCAUAGUCAUUAGUUCUUUAAUUGUGAUCUGGUAUGAAUGGCUUGACGAGGCAUGGGCUGUCUUAAUUUUGAAUUGUUUAUUGAAUUUGGUCUUUGGGUUAAAAUUCUUAGAUGUUUUUAUGGGACGAGAAGACCCUAUAGAAUUUAACAUUUGUUAUGGUCCCCUUUCUGUUUGUGAGGGUUUAUUGGGUCGUUAAAUAUGUUUUGUUGGGGUGAUGGGAGGGAUUAAUUUAACCCCUCCUUUUUGUUAUUAUAUUUAUAUAUAUUUACUUGAUCCAUUUAUUUUGAUUGUAAGAUUAAAUUACCUUAGGGAUAACAGCGUAA